rnacentral:rRNA from 1 species
GACGAACGCUGGCGGCGUGCUUAACACAUGCAAGUCGAACGGAAAGGCCCUGCUUGCAGGGUACUCGAGUGGCGAACGGGUGAGUAACACGUGGGUGAUCUGCUCUGCACUUCGGGAUAAGCCUGGGAAACUGGGUCUAAUACCGGAUAGGAGCCAUUUUUAGUGUGAUGGUUGGAAAGUUUUUUCGGUGUAGGAUGAGCUCGCGGCCUAUCAGCUUGUUGGUGGGGUAAUGGCCUACCAAGGCGGCGACGGGUAGCCGGCCUGAGAGGGUGGACGGCCACAUUGGGACUGAGAUAAGGCCCAGACUCCUACGGGAGGCAGCAGUGGGGAAUAUUGCACAAGGGGCGCAAGCCUGAUGCAGCGACGCCGCGUGGGGGAUGACGGCCUUCGGGUUGUAAACUCCUUUCGCUAGGGACGAAGCUUUUUGUGACGGUACCUAGAUAAGAAGCACCGGCUAACUACGUG